UAUCCGCCAGAAGAUUACGAGCGAAAAGCUUAAAACUCAAAGGACUUGGCGGCGCCCCACACCGACUUAGAGGAGCCUGUCCUAUAAUCGAUACCCCACGCUAAACCUCACCAGUCUUUGCCAAAUUCAGCCUAUAUACCGCCGUCGCCAACCUACCUUAUGAAAGAAAAAUAGUAAGUAUAAAAGUCUAACAACUAAAACGUCAGGUCAAGGUGUAGCUAAUAGAAUGGUAGAGAUGGGCUACAUUUUUUAAGAUAAAAUAUAACGGCACGGUAUUAUGAAACUUCUACCCAAAGGUGGAUUUAAUAGUAAAACUAACAAGAAAGUUAG
rnacentral:rRNA from 1 species